UACGAAGGGGGCUAGCGUUGCUCGGAAUCACUGGGCGUAAAGGGUGCGUAGGCGGGUUUUUAAGUCAGAGGUGAAAUCCUGGAGCUCAACUCCAGAACUGCCUUUGAUACUGGCGAGCUUGAGUUCGGGAGAGGUGAGUGGAACUGCGAGUGUAGAGGUGAAAUUCGUAGAUAUUCGCAAGAACACCAGUGGCGAAGGCGGCUCACUGGCCCGAUACUGACGCUGAGGCACGAAAGCGUGGGGAUCAAACAGG
rnacentral:rRNA from 1 species